ACCCCCCUCCCGCCCCUGGCCUCCGUGCAAGCGGGUCCCGUUGCUCCCCCGGGGGUGAUACUUUGCCUCGUCGUCGUGGUUUUGCAUCUGCAGAUGAGGGAGCAGCGGCUGGAGUCGACUAAGUCAAUGCUUCCAGUCCUGCAACUGUGUUCUGUCCUGUUUGGGAUGGCUUUAAACGGGUGAUGGCCUCAUGAAUCGUGGGUGCCACUGAUCAGUGGGUGACAAAUGGGACACAUACCCAUCAGGCAAGUCUUUGUUCUCACCCUUCACCUUUGGAUUCCCCUUUUCUUUGGCUUUGGCACCUUUUUUUUCUCCUGGGCAGCCGAAGUGUUUGUACAGGUGAUGCAAACAAGGUGCAAACAGGGCUGGGGUCAUGCACCCUGAACUGCCCUUGUAAACACCAGCAAUCAAGAGUAUUUCUUGAAGAGGCCUUGAAUUACUCAGUUCUCCCCCUCAGCUGGCAGCCCAAAGCGUGGCCAUAGGCAGGGGGCAAGGGAAGGAUGUGGAGUUAGGGGAAAUUUGGCCUUUGGGCCUUAACUCAGAAGUGGAAAGGUAAAGUAAUGUGUAAAAAUGUCUGUUGGUCAGCAAAAUGCUUUGCUUCAAAACUCCUUUGAGCUUUUUCAGAUCUUUCUAAUGAAAAUGGCUGAAUUGUGCAGGCUGUCCUGGAUCCAAACAGUGCACCAUGAAAACACCAGAAUAAAAUGUGUUGAUUUUU